UACGUAGGUGGCAAGCGUUGUCCGGAAUUAUUGGGCGUAAAGGGCGUGUAGGUGGAUUCUUAAGUCGUGUGUCUAAGUGCGGGGCUCAACCCCGUAUAGGCGCAGGAAACUGGGAAUCUUGAGUGCAGGAGAGGAAAGUGGAAUUCCCAGUGUAGCGGUGAAAUGCGUAGAUAUUGGGAGGAACACCAGUGGCGAAGGCGACUUUCUGGACUGUGUCUGACACUGAGGCGCGAAAGAUAGGGGAGCGAACGGG
rnacentral:rRNA from 1 species